AGUUGAAAAUGGUAUCAGAUAUCGGACUCGACUGGGAAAGGUCCGAGGCAGAUACAACUCGACCAAGUCGUACUGGACUUGGCCGAUGCCCUAGCGUCCACUUCUUCGUCUCCAGUCACUGCCAUAGUUGUCGUCAAUUUCCACUCCUCUGCAUCCCUGAAUGAGGACACUUCACUUGAUUACUAGAACCACAUGGAGAUUGUCGAUGGUGGAGCUCUUGAUGAUACAAAUGCUCUAUAGCUUCCCUACGUGUUGUUCUCAACGGAAUCCAAAAUUCUCAUAAGUUUCAUUGUAGUCGGCAUUCUCCAUGGAGAAGCACCAACACGCAGCAGCCUGAAAAGGGAGACAAUCCUUGGAAGAAUGCAGAGUCCGCUGAGGGAGUCAAUCACGCACUAUAAGAGGGGCCUUCUCUUACACGCGAAUAUGAUUUUCUUCACAGCCACCCUCACAGCCACACAGUCUGCAUCAUUAGAGAUCCCUCCUAGCAUCACACACCAAGGAAAGGGACCAUCAAUUCUAGAAGCAUCACAGCACACCAUUGGAAAGUUGGAGUCCACCAAUUGCGGCUGCAAGAGGCACACACAGAAGAGGCAACCACGCACCGCAGUUUGGGUGGCAUCUUCCACAACAAGCAGCUGCACGGGACUCCGUUGGAGAGAAUUCUCCACACACGGCCACAUAAAGACUUCAAUACAUAGUUGAACAGAUUUCCAUAGGACACACCAUACGAUGGUGGUAGUAGCCGCACAUUGGACGUAAGAAAAGCCGCUGUCACUUUUGACGCAGCAUAAUGGAGAAGAGAUUCACACACGCAGCCAUGGGAAGUUCCUGUUUAUAUUUACCAGAGCUUUUCACCAAACUUGGGAGAUUAGUUAAGAAAUCAGUUUGACUUUGGGGAAUAGGAAGAGAAUCGAUAUUAGAUGGGCAAAGAGCACUAGUAGAAGGAUGAUUCUAGUGGGAUAGUUCUUGAAAAUGGUGGAUGUAUGGGAAAUUGAAGGUCUUCAAUCUGUUGAAGCUUAUUCUUCCAUGAAUAGGCAUUUAUUGGGUUCAGUUUGAUUCUAUAUAUAUUUGUCCUGUUUGAUGAAAGAAAGGAUGAGAAAGAAAGGAUCUCAGAUAAUCAAUCCUCAUUCUUAGUAAGAAUUCUUGUGGUUCCAAAGUAUCAACUAUGG